GGCUCCUGUGGAUGUGCUGGGAUGGUGAAGGGAUUAUGGCUGACCAGAACCAAGCCACCCCCCUUUGAUAGUCCUUGUCAUAUGGAGUAAAAUAAAAAUGGAACAGUGCAAAUCUGAUGUAUGGUUGAUUUUUCUAUGAAUUUAUAACAGAAGUGUGGCAUAUGUAGUGUGUGAGUGUGAGUGUGUGAAGUUUGUACAAACUGAAUGAUUGGGGUGGGGGGUUCCUGCUACAGUUCCCCCCUUCGGAGAUAAGAUUGCAAAGGUGGCUACUUUGCAAUCCUUUUCUCCGCACAAUUUAAGGUGGUAAAUGUUAACCUGCUAUUCUCCAUCCCAGAUGCGUGUGUCCAUGUGAACCUGAAAGGGACUUGGAUGUCACGCUUCUUAAGGAUAUUUGCAUAGAAAUAUAACAGUGUAACAGUGCACAUAGUUAGACAUAGGAUAUCACGUAAAAUUAAUAUUUUGUUGCUCAGUUACUUGUGGUGUUCUAGCACCUUGGAAGAAAUAUUUUCUCAAUAGUGGUCUAUGCUUUACAUUUAGCAGGAAGGUCCACUAAUGACUGAAAAAUGCAGUUUGUUUUGUCCCCCGCCAUUUUUGUGUUCUCAGGUGUCAAGGUAGCUCUUCUGUGGUCUCACAUUGGCAUGGUGUCACAGUAGUGGCAAUCCCUGGUGAAUCCACUUAGGGCUUUCAUAUUAACCAUGUUGCCUGGCACUCACCACAGCUGGCACAGGUUUAGGACACGUCAUGAGAGAAAUGUCUUUGCCUUGGCCAUUCUAUGGGAUUUUAUUAUUAUAGGCUCUGGUCUUGCAGUCAUGGGAAGUUGCUCACUUGCACUUUAAGGACCAAAAGCUAAUUGCAGCCUGGAUACACUUGCCCAAUUCAAACUGAGUCCAAUUUGAAUUUUUCUUGCCCCAUGGUUCUCAACUUUUCUGUUAAAACAGAACCAUCCAAAUAAGUCAAUUUAACUCUAUAAGGGAUUAUUCCUGCUAAACCAAAGCAUAUACACCUUCCUGAAGCUUCUCCUUGGUAAAGCGAGUUUUAGCACAUUUUAAAUGGGUAGGGAAGUUGGCAGAGUGCCAGGUGAAACAACGAAAUGUGGUUAUAAAUUUAUCUAAUCCUAAACAUUUGACUACACAAUAGCCUGACCUAUUAGAACGCAUAAAAUGUAUGAGAAUCCUCCACUGGGGUGUAAGGAAUAAGACAUUAAAUAUAAAAACAAUUACACACAAAAUAGCCCCCGAUUUGUGGAAAUAACACACUGUCAGACACAUUUCAACAUUCCUACGUAAUAACACAUAAUACAAAACAAACUAAUUAAAUAUCAGUUGCAUAUCUUGAGACAAUUGGGAUAUUUUAUGUAUGUAUCUUUUGAAUCCUGGAGCACAGUCUUGAGGUUCAAAAGUGAGAAGAUGUCCUUGCAAUUCAACUCCACCCCCCUUUGUCAGGCCCACUCCCCCGGCAGUCUAUAUCCUUUGAAAGAGAUAGCUGUGGGCACUUUGAAACUUUGGUGUCUGUUGUUGUUGCAGGUCUUGUGGUGGCGAAGCUUUUCAUUGGAUCUGUAGUAACACAUUUGUAGAAGUGAUAUCCUGUAAGGGGCAGGGUUUUGAGGACUUAAAAGACAGAGUUAGAAAAGGGAAGGGGCAAAAGGCAAAAAGGAUGUCCUUCAGUUUCCGUUGGAAGCUGCAAAUAAUAAAAAUCUUAGCGGAUUAAGCAUUUCAUUCAUUCCAAUAUUAUUAUCAUAUUUCCAUAUAAUUACUGUUAUUAUCUGCCAAGUUUGUUUGCUUUCCUUCACUUAGUUUGGCUGUGGAAGAAACGGAGGGACAAAACCUUUGUUAAUUUGAACACAAUUGGCAAGUUAUUAAACAUUUUGCUUAUGUGGGUCCGAGUUCACGUAUCCUGUUUUAAAGGGAAAUUUUUAUUUCCUUUGAAAAUCUCUGUCAGGAAUGCUGUUCCUAUAAUGCACACAAAGCCUGUUAUAAAAGUUAAAUCCCAUUGGGGGUGGGAGAACUAGUCAAGAGUGGAACUCACAGUGGGAGCGCUUUGAUAUUUACCUGUGAAAAGAAUUUGGCAUGUUAAGAUUUGAAACCUGGAAACCUCUUGACUUUUGAUGGGCUAGUACUUAACCCUUUUGUCUUACGUAGCCCCUGGAGCAAAGGACACAUUAAGGGUGAUUUCCCUCAUUGGUUCCAAGUUUUACAUAAGGAAAUUUGGAUAAGUUUCUCCCUGCAGCCCAAGCUCUCGAAACCUCCUCUCCCCCCCCUACAGUUCCCCUCCUUCCUCUCUCUCUCUCUUUCCUCCCCCCUUUUUUUAUUUUAAGCUGAUCUAGCCUCUGUGCAUGUGCAGAGUUCAUGUCUCAGCAAACCUUUUAUACUAUUGAAAAUGUUGAAUCUUUUGGCUAAAUUACCAUUUGAAUAAGGGAAGGGAAGGGUAAGGAGUAGAUUUUAAAAAUAGGGUUAGAUUUUAAAAACAAAAAAGAGAAACUCAGCUGUCAGGGGUUCAGGAGCAGAGGCAAGGGCAAGGGAGGAAACAGAGAGCGAGGGGGAGGAGGCAGAAGAAAAGAUGAGUGAUGACGACGACCCGAGAUCUCCGAGUCUUUCCAGUGAAUCAGAAGAUUCACAGAAAGGAGCACCAGUGGCCAGGGCAAGGGGGGAGUCUAGGGGGACACCCCAGGAAGAUAGAGCCAGAGGGGACUCAGAGGGGAGCAGUUGGAAAUCGGGACCAACGUCACCGCCAGAGAGCAGGGAAGAGGAAGGGCGCCAGGGAUCAAGCGCUGGCAACUCACAACAGGGGAGGGCACGAGUCAGGAGUGGCCACACCCCCAUCGGGGAGCGAAGAAACGGUCAGACGGAAGGUGGAAGGUUGGGCGCGCGCCCAAGUUCAAAUGCACAGGAAGGUGGCGCAGUAGGCAGCCCGGAAAGGGAGCCAGGUCCUAAAGCCCGCCGAAAGGAGGGAGAAGAGUCAGGGGAGUCAGCGUCAGCGUCAGAGGAAUCCCGGAAGGAAGAGACCCCGGGGGGGCAGAGGGACCCAGAGAAGAACAGUCAGGCGGAAAAGGUGGAGCAGGGCUAGGAUAUUAAGUUGGUGUACAAGGGGCGGAGACUCAGACGGAGCUUCGCCGGUCUAAGCAUGAGACGUAGAGUUGCACGCAGCAGCUUGAGAAUGGAAACUGUAACUCAAUAAAGACUUUUGUUUAAUGAUCGCUGGCUAGCGUGAUCCUCUGUGAGCUAGGAUCUGGAAGCAGCUCUGACAUCAGCGAUUCAAGUAUUCACUAAAGCUAGCAAUUGCAGCCCAAGCAAAGGGACUGCUUCCUUUAUGUACAGGAAAGGGCUAAUAUCCCUCUGGCCAUUCGCGGAACAAUGCCACGCCCUUAUAUAUGGGAAAAAUGGCCAGAGAGUCAGAAUUCAUAGGAUUUUUUUAACAUUCACAGUCAUUUCAGCCUUACCAUUUGCAGACAAAAAUUUUUUUUCCUGCCCUUUAUUUACAGGAUUGGUCAAGGCGCAUAUGUAUUUGUAUGUGCUGAAACUUUGAAUUGACUUUGAAGUCUGAUUUUUAAAUAGUAGACAAAAUGAUAAACACUGUAAUCACUCAAAUGCUUGAUAUUACCAGUUGUGCUUCAAAAACAUCACGGCUUCACCUCACACCUUUUAAAACUAAAGAGCAAAGCUAGGCUGAAUUUCAACUCCAUCACCACACCAGAAUUUAAGAAUUACCCUCCAAUGCUUGCAGACACAUGUCCUUCCACACAGCCACAAAUUGGGAGAGUUGAAAGGGACCCUGGGGUCAUCUAGUCCAACCCUCCAAAAUAUAGGGUUCACAGCAAGAUUUCCCAGAAAGAUUUGUACUACCAAAGAGACAUACACAUUUAAGUACAGAUUUACAACUGGGAAAGGAAACAUCUAUGCUCCUAUCAUGUACUAAGGAAGAGGAAAAUAAAAGUACCCAACUUUACACAGAACCCUUUUAGCAGAUCUUGAGAUAGUUUGAGUGAGUUUGCUUCCUUAGACUAAAGAAUGCAAGUUCCUAUAGAAAUGAUAUUUAAAGGAAGAUUGAAGUGAACAGUUUUUUUUUUUUCUAAGAUAGGGAGAGGAUCUUUUAUUAAGCAUAGUUAAAACAGCCAUAGAUUUGAUUUAAAGGGAAUACAAAAGUGAACAAUAUUAUCCCCCCUGAACUUGCAGAGGAAUAGUAAGCCUAAUUUAGAUUAUUAUUAUUUUUAAUAACUACACAUAGGAAAGUGAGAUGCAGGGUACCUUAGGAAAGAUUGCUCCCCCCUCUUUGCAGUUUCCUUUAAAGGAAGCUUACUCAGGAGUAAAUUUACCUGGCACAGAAGUAAGAAGGGGGAAAAACCUGAAAGAUACAGAAUGAAACAAGGGGGGGCAUUUUCUAAGAAAAGAGGCCAGGAAGUCUUAUAGAGACUGAUAUCAGGACUGGACUCAGAUAGACAAUUUUUGCUGGCCAUGGAAACCUCUACAUUUAAUAACAAUUUUUCUCAGAAAGAACACCAUACUUUCAUAGGCAUAGGCUUAAUGAAAUACAUACACUGCAUUUUAGCUUGAGAGAGCAGUUGGCUCAACUAGGCUUUUGCAGCAGAAACAUUAGUUUCUUCACAGCACAUUUCAAAAUACUGGAACAAAAAAGACUGGAACUCACAAACUCAAAAGUUGCAGCAAAACAUCAUCUACCAUCAACUUAAAAUCAUACUCCUCACUUAAGCUACUCGGAGGAAGACUCUUUGGAGCCUCUCUCAAAUAACAAACAUUUGCACACUUCAUUCUUCUUCCUUUUUUUUUUUUUUUGUCCUGUUUAAGAUUGAUAAGGCCCAACAUGCCUUUCUUAGAUUUAAAAUUUUUGAAGCAAGCUUGCAAUUUUAAAACUAUGUGCAUUUAAGAACAGUCUGUGGAUGCCAAGGCCAAUGUAAAUACAAACCCUUGAAAUAUUUCUAAAUCUUUGAGUACAUCUCUUAUCAUUUUUUUUAAAUUUUUAUUUUUUAUUUUUUAGAGAAACUAAGAUCUCUAAUGCGUGGGCUCUCAGGCUGGGCUGUUAUUAUAUCUACUACCUUCUGAGCACCAUUAAGUUUACGGUUUCAUGUUCUAGCUUUAGGUUAUAGUUUAACAACACAAAUUUGAUGUGUUCAGCUCUCCCUAAGGGUUCACACCCUGAUUUUGUUGAAGGAUCCCUGAGGUGGCCGCUGUGCCCUGGGUUCCAGGUGGUGGGUAAAAGCGACCCACGAGAUGUUGCAAAGGUCCCUCAGUUUGGACUUUGAGAGUCCCUUCCUCCCUCUCAACUCUUUCCAGUUUAAGAGAACAAAUUGAAGAGGGGUAUCAGAGUCCUCCCUCGGGCGGAAAGGCUCCGCGGAAGCCUUAUCGCCUGGAGGAGUCCAGCCUGAAUGCUUGGAAGCAUGGGCCCCCAUUCUUUUGCAGUACGCUAAAGACAGAAAAAGUGGACACACACACACAAGGGAAGAAGGGGCAAUGGAAAAGGAAAAGAGGGGCAGGGAAAAAAGGAAAAAAAUAUCCUUUCAGUACUCGAAGUAUCCUUGACUAACCCAAUUUCUACCUAUCUGUAAGUCACAAAUUACUUUCAGGAAAAUCUCAGACAUGAACCUAAAACAAAAAUCACGGGUCUCCUCGCCUGAAACUCAAACCACGGGUCUCCCUGCCCGAAACUUAAACCACAGGUCUCCUCGCCCGAAACUCAAACCACGGGUCUCCUCGCCCGAAACUCAAACCACGGGUCUCCUCGCCCGAAACUCAAACCACGGGUCUCCCUGCCCGAAACUCAAACCACGGGUCUCCUCGCCCGAAACUCAAACCACGGGUCUCCUCACCCGAAACUCAAACCACGGAUCCGGAAUUCCUUUGCCUCAGCGCUGUUUACAAGACUAACCCUAGUGUGGGGCCCCAAUUUGUGAACCUCCCGCUCUGCUCUCCACGACAGCCUCCUGCCUAGCCUUUAGACUAAAUUCGGGCUCCCUACUGGACGCCUGCGCAAUGCAGUGCCAGAUCGAGGUCUGAGAAAAACAAAGUUUAGAAAGGAAGCAAAUGACCUUGCGUUCUCACAUACCCGGGUCAUCCCCAACAAGGGUCGCCGAGCAGGAGGGGCAGCUUCAUUUGCGUAAGCAGGGGAGAGAGAGAGAGAGAGUAGGAAAGAUUUGUAUGGACUCCUCCGGACGACUCCGAGGGAGGACGUCAGAGAAAUGCAAAGUACCGCGUUUUUCCCUGGCCACACUCCGAAAGGGAAAAACGGGGGAGAGAAGGAGAGAGGGAGAUUUGUAGGGACGCCUCCGGACGACUCCGAGGGAGGACGUCAGAGAAAUGGCAAAGUACCGCGUUUUCCCCGCCACGCUCCGAAAGGGAAAACGGGGAGAAAAGGAGAGAUUUUAGGACGUUCCUGGACGACUCCGAGAGGUAAUGUCAGAAAGCAGCAAAAGUUCCACAAUUUCCCCGGCCCAGCUCCGAAAGGGAAAUAGGGGGAGAGAAAGAGAAAGUUUAGGACGUUCCUGGACGACUCCGAGAGGUAACGCCAGAGAUAGAAGGAAGAAAAGGUCCAGCUGUCGUGGGGACGUUGCUUUCCACCCCCCUCCCAAUGUAUUUUCUUCAAACCAUACUCACGUUCGUAGAUGUCCCUCGUGGAUCCCGGGAUCCUUUCCCCUUAGCCGGCUUGACCUUGCCUUUGCUUCCCCUGGUUGAGCUUUUGGUGACGAUUGAUUACCGCCCGCAAAGAGGAGGCAGGGCGAGAAGAAGUUUAGGGCAGUUCCUGGGCGACUCCGGUACGCCAGGGUAGAAGGAAGAAAAGGUCCAGCGCUGUCAUUGGGGACGUUGGCACCCACCCCCCUCCCAAUGUAUUUUCUUCGACCAUACUCACGUUCAUUUGGUGUCCCUACGUGGUCCAGGAUCCUUUCCCCCUUAGCAGCUUGACCUUGCCUUUGCUUCCCCUGGUUGAGCUUUGACGAUUGAUUGCCGCCCGCAAAAGGAGGCAGGGAGAAAAGAAGGAUUCCUGGGCUAAGGUUGCCCAGUGGCGCCUGAUCCCCUCUAUCUCCCUCCUCACCUUCGCAGGAGAACCAAGUGUCCCUGAGCAUGGUCGCCAAACUGUUACCGGAAAAAUCCGAGGGCUCCCUUGGACAAAAACAAAAACACCAACCAGGAUAACUUGGAGCAAAACAGCAGCCUGUAGGCUUGGCCUUUAUUGAACUGUUGCAACAGGGUGUUCCCCUCACUUGCAGGAGAGAGGAAAGACCCAGAAAGAUGGUGUGCAAGACCUUAUAAAAACUUUGAAAUUCCCAUCCUCUAGGUCAAGCCCACCCCCAGAAACAUCAUGCAUACAUUACAGAAAGGAGGAGUUGACAUCAUGCAUACAUUACAGAAAGGAGGAGUUGACAUCAUGCAUACAUUACAGAAAGGAGGGGUUGAGGGAGGAGUUGUGGUGGUAACCUGAGUGUCCUGUCACCUGGCUGGUUCCUCCUUUCCCCUGCCCAUGAGUCACUUCCAGGAGAGAAAGGGAGUUGGCAGUUUCCUGCCCCAGAGGGAAGAUCUGAUCAUUGUCCUUUGUUUCAGUCCAUGCUGAAUCCACUCCCAUAUGCAAGUUCUUUGUGAUCUUGAUGGUCUUCUGUCUAGGACCAUCAGGGUUGGCAUGGCAACUGGGCAGGGCUCCUGUGGAUGUGCUGGGAUGGUGAAGGGAUUAUGGCUGACCAGAACCAAGCCACCCCCCUUUGAUAGUCCUUGUCAUAUGGAGUAAAAUAAAAAUGGAACAGUGCAAAUCCGAUGUAUGGUUGAUUUUUCUAUGAAUUUAUAACAGAAGUGUGGCAUAUGUAGUGUGUGAGUGUGAGUGUGUGAAGUUUGUACAAACUGAAUGAUUGGGGUGGGGGGUUCCUGCUACAGAGCCAAACGUUCUUCCUUGAGCUCCUUGCAGAACAGGCAGUCAGCAGCCGAGGGCAAGCAACGGAUCAGCAGAAAAAGCUCCACAAAGCUAGAUAAAUUCCUCUGAAGGGGGCAUGCAGCAGCAGGCACGGCAAGCUCCUGAGGGCAGGGAACUUGCACCGAAACACACAGAGCUCCCUGUAAAACUGUAGACGUGAAAGAGAUGCUGGAAGGAAAGCACACAAACACACACACAGUGAUUUUAGCUCAAUUACAGCUCCGGUGUUAAACUGCAGCAGCUGGAAUGGAGCGCAAAGGGAAAAAGGGAGCCCAGAAGGAAAAAAGCCC
rnacentral:lncRNA from 1 species